rnacentral:rRNA from 1 species
AGUGAACGCUGGCGGUAGGCCUAACACAUGCAAGUCGAACGGCAGCACAGUAAGAGCUUGCUCUUACGGGUGGCGAGUGGCGGACGGGUGAGGAAUACAUCGGAAUCUACUUUUUCGUGGGGGAUAACGUAGGGAAACUUACGCUAAUACCGCAUACGACCUACGGGUGAAAGCAGGGGAUCUUCGGACCUUGCGCGAUUGAAUGAGCCGAUGUCGGAUUAGCUAGUUGGCGGGGUAAAGGCCCACCAAGGCGACGAUCCGUAGCUGGUCUGAGAGGAUGAGAAGACCCACAGUGGAAGAGAGACGGUGCACAGACCUCCACGGGAGGGCGGAGUGGAGUAUUGUGGAAAAGGGGCGAACGUGAGCUACAGCCAUCCCGUGGGGGAAAAAGACGUUCUGGUGUUGUAAAGCUCUUUUGGUGGGAAAGAAAAGCCGCAUGUUUAUACCCCGGUGUUGUGACGGCACCAAAAGAAUAAGCAGCGGCUCACCGUG